AGAAGGAGGAUGUGAGAAAUGUCUUCUGUUGGUCCAUACUUUUUCUCCUAAUUCACUACGGCACUGGCAUGCUCUUCAGCACGCAGGAUGCGAAGAGAAACUUCCAAGAGUUUCCAGAAAGGAAAGAAGUUUGGAACUGAAUUAGAUUAUGUGUGGAUAUACAGCUCAUUAAGAGCAAAGACUCUCUGUUCACAUUUUUCUCUGAAUGAACCAGAUGGACUUGCAGAUCAAUAGGUGAACUAAAUCGUGAGGAGGAAUAAAGACUCCUAGUUACUGCAGUAGAAGCUCGGUGGCAAAUCUAAAUAUAGGACCUGGAAGAGAGUCUAACAGAA